AUUGAACGCUGGCGGCCUGCCUAACACAUGCAAGUCGAACGAGCGGCGGACGGGUGAGUAGUGUCUGGGAAACUGCCUGAUGGAGGGGGAUAACUACUGGAAACGGUAGCUAAUACCGCAUACCCUCAGAUGUGCCCCGAUGGGAGUAGCUAGUGGGGGGGGUAACGGCUCACCUAGGCGACGAUCCCUAGCUGGUCUGAGAGGAUGACCAGCCACACUGGCACUGAGACACGGUCCAGACUCCUACGGGAGGCAGCAGUGGGGAAUAUUGCACAAUGGGCGCAAGUCUGAUGCAGCCAUGCCGCGUGUGUGAAGAAGGCCUUCGGGUUGUAAAGCACUUUCGGCGGGGAAGCGGUACCUGCAGAAGAAGCACCGGCUAACUCCGUGCCAGCAGCCGCGGUAAUUC
rnacentral:rRNA from 1 species